ensembl:lncRNA
AGACAGCUUGUAUAACACUAAUGAUGCAUUUGACUGGGGACCCUUCAGAUCACUGGCACAGGACCAAGAACUGGCACGAUCUACCCACUCCCUUUUUUCCAUAAGUCUCCAUGAGCCUGGGGUGUACGCCUUCAAACUCAGUAGCCACAAUUAUAGGCACAUGUAUGUGAGGGUAGUGCCUGCAGGUGGAGAGAUUGAAGUGACCGAACACUGUGUCCUCACAGAUCCUGUUCAGGAAUUACGGCUGGCCUGAGAAACUGCCAGCUCAGGUCAGGUACCGUGAUCUCCAGCUAAGGUACAACAUGGACGACUAUUCAUCAAAGGGCUCCAGGGUGGUGGCUGUGAAAAAAACACAUCGAAACCUCCAGGCGGGGUUGACUGAGGAUUCAGUGCAGAGAGGAGGUGUAUUGGCUGUGCUAUGGUAUUGUAUUAGCUCUGUCCAGAGCUAGAAUUCCCACAGACUGUGCUCACACUGCCCGCAGCAGUGGCUCUGGUGUCUAAUGAAUUCUGGGACUAUGAAGAGCAAGUGGAUCUCGAAGCAUUCAGCUCCAGCACCUUCUAUGACAUCCUACUCAAGCACAGCGUGUCUGUCACAAUACGUCUCGGGCAGCUCAGAGGAGAGGUGAGACUCUAUGAGAACAACAGUCUAUUUCCUGCCCCUAUGAGCUUCAAAUAUCACCCUCGUAAAGUUCAAAUAUAUUUACCCAUAUUGAAUAACAUCACUGAGAUGCUCAGUUGUAAUUAACAGUCUCUCUUGUUUCAUGGUCCACUAUGAUACCAUGUAGGAAACAGCAGUGAAUUGUUACUUCCCUGGGGUGAAGUGUGUGGAUCAACUAAAAUGAGUUGUAAAUAUAGCAUUCCUUUUCAGCUUGUUUCAUUGAUGGAAACAUUUGCCCUGUCUAGGUGAAGCAGCUCUAUCAGGGGGUGCUGGGGAAGUUGAGAGAGCUCCACCCUGGCUGGAGGAUGUUUGGAGGGAAAACCGAAGGUCUGGAGAGGCAGGUGGAGCAGGAGAUGGUGCGACGAAGAGCACUGGGCAAUCAGCUGACACAGCUGCUGGACAGCCAGCUGCAGAUCCUGCGGGUGGAGAUGAGAGCACAGCAGGCCAUGCAGAAGACCUUCAGAGCACGACUGAGAGAGAGCGCGAGGCUUCUGAGACUGCUGGCUGAGGGUCAGACCUCGCUCUGGGAUAAACACAUCAAGCAACAUGUUCUGGAGCGGGUAGCUGUGCUGGCUGAUGAGAUGACUGAGAAGGUAUCAGUGGAGAGCCAGAGGCUGGGGGCCUGGGUUGUGCUUAAAGAGGGCACUGGAGCACAGCUAUUAUGCCCUGCUACUGGAUCAGUCCUCAGUAGGGAAGACAUCAUCGCUCCUGAUGGAUCUCUUAGAGCUUGUGAUGUCGUUCAUGUAAACCCCCUCACAGGCCUCAUUCAGCCCAACUCUAACGCCCAUAUGUUACUGGCCAGUGGACACAGCAUGCCAGUUCCCCCGGACUUCUUCCUACACUCCCAGACUGGCAAACUACUGCCUAUGGCUGGAAACGUGGGCUUUGAUCCUGUUUCCUCCACCCUUGUCUUUACAGCCGAUGCUUGUGUGGGGGAGGUGGGAAAAUGGGAACUACCCCUGCUGCCUUUCAUUCCGUACCCUCCAUCCCGCCACGCAGAACUCCAUGCUGCUUCCAAACUACGGGGGCUUCGUUCAGGCCAAAGGCUGAUGCUUGGAGGACCCAUGUGUGACUGUGACACUGGUGUUUUGGUGCCUAUUCUGGCAGUCACCAUCCAUCCACAAACAGGAUUGGUUUAUCCUUUGGGAGGCGUGCACACGUGUCCCAUCUCACGCCUGCGGCAGCCUAUUCAAAUAGGCUCUCCCAUGCUGGACCCACGUACAGGUGACCUAGUGCUCAUCACGGGCAUCACUCUUGAUCCCCAUACAGGGGCUGUACUUCCAGUUGGGGGGCUUCUCCUAGGCGAGUCCUUCAUCGAGCCCUUGAGCGGACGGAUGGUGCGGGUUGGUGGAGGCAGCGUGCGAGGAGGAAAGGUGGUGCCUCAUGCUGGGGGUUUCCAGGCUCUGCUGGACAGCCAGGCUCUGGGCGCUUGCUUGCGAAUGGCAGAGCUCUUGCAAGGAUUCAGUGAGGAGUGGAGCUCAGCAGCUGCAGAUCCACAAGGUGACCUGGACAGACUCUCGGCAGCAACAUCUGAGCUGGAGCAGGCCUGGAAAAGCAGCCAACACUGUAUGUUGCAGCUGCUGAGUCGCCUGGAAGCCGUACAGGGACAGGCCAGGGGUGUGGUGGAGAAUGGCGGUAGUGUGGGGGAAAUUAAGCUUCCUGGCAUUGAGCUCUCCUUGCCAGCUCUCCCCGGGUUGGAGUAUCCUGACCCUGGAGGCUCGGGUCUGCAUGUCCCAGUUCUGGGAGCUCAGUUGGACUGGAUGUCAGGAUCUAUGGUGCCCCUGGCAGGAACCAUGGAGGAUGCAGAUGGUAAAGGUAAUGGAGGUUAACUAGUAAUGUCCAAAUCCAGUUACAUUAAUCUCUAGAUGUUAACCUAGAGUAUAUUAUGACUCUCAGGGCUAGUUCCCAUACAUUUUGGAGCGCAGACAGUGGACCCAGUGACAGGGGUGCUGGCUCCGGUUGUGGGGGCCAGUCUGGAUGUUUGGAAACGGACUGUGGUUCCUGUAACUGUGUCCCAGAUUCUGACGUUAGGAGAAAACCCAGACAGUGUCACGGUGAGCGAAGUUGAACUAAAUCACAGCAGCAUAAAAGCUCAUUUGGCUUGAGGGUGUUUAUAUGUGUGCAAAUGUGUGUUUGUUCGCCUCAGGUGGAAGCCCUCCAGAAAGAGAGCAGUGUACAGGGCAAUUACUGGCGUGAGCAGACACUGAAGGAAGAGGAGAUGGUGGGAGAUUUUGACAGAGCCAUUAAACACUAUCUGUCCACAUCCAUACACGAGUCUGACUGUGUAAGUUGACUCUACAGAAAUGACACUAAGCUCUGUGGUCUAUUUAAAAUGCAAGUCUUUGGACCAAGUGUCUGUUUUUAUUUUUUUGAGUGUCAGUGUGAUGGAAAGCAUUUCCACCAUCCCUGCAUCCUGAAUGUGAUUCUGUGCAUGUUCAUGUGUGUGCGUGAAACAGAUAGACUGGAUGGACACAGACAGGCACCUCAGGGAGACCGCCGCUGAGAUUCAGGAAAGUGCUCAGUGUGAGGCCCAGAGAAAAGCUCUCCAGAACUCAGAGUUAUCGCUGCUCCUACAAGCCCAUGUGUUACACACCUUCACAGGAGGUCAGUCCUCGCACUCAUACUCCCACUGGGACCACAAACCACUAUGAUUUAAAGAUUCAAUACAUAGAACUCAUGAUUGGAGGUUGGUAAGAUUUUUUAAAAAGUUUUAGAAAGAAUGUCUAAAAAAAAGU